rnacentral:rRNA from 1 species
UACGGAGGGUGCAAGCUUUGUCCGGAUUUAUUGGGUUUAAAGGGUGCGUAGGUGGUAGCCCAAGUCUGGUUUGAAAGCUGGUCGCUCAACGAUCAGAUGUGGCUGGAAACUGGGUUACUUGAAUUGAUUGGCGGUAGCCGGAAUGGGUCAUGUAGCGGUGAAAUGCAUAGAUAUGACCCGGAACCCCGAUUGCGAAGGCAGGCUACUACGAUUUGAUUGACACUGAGGCACGAGAGCAUGGGUAGCGAACAGG